AAUUUUAAUUAUUUUAAUAAUAUUUAAUUUUUAUUUAUAGUAAUUAAUAUUAAAAAUUUAAGAAAUUAAGAUUUAGUAAUAUAAAAAUUAUUAACAAAUUUUGUGCCAGCAGUUGCGGUUAUACAAAAAUUAAAAUAAAAUAUAUUAGUAUUUUAAUAAAUAAAUGUUAAUUAUAAUUAUAAGUUAAAAUUUAAAUUAUUAAGUAAAAUUUUAAUUUAUAAAAAUUUAUAAUAAAUUUAUGAUUUAAUAAAUUUAAAUAUAAAACUAGGAUUAGAUACCCUAUUAUUUUAAAUGUUAAUAUAAAAACUAAAGUAGUAAAUAAUUUUUUAUUGAAAUUUAAAUAAUUUGGCGGUAUUUUAGUUUAUUUAGAGGAAUCUGUUUAUUAAUUGAUAAUCCACGAAUUAAUUUACUUAAUUUUAUUAUUUUGUAUAUCGUUGUUAUAAAAAUAUUUAAAAAUAAUAAAUAAUAUUUAAAAAUUUUUAUGAUAAAUUAAAUCAGAUCAAGAUGCAGAUUAUAAUUAAGAAUAUAAUGGAUUACAAUAAAAUUAUUUAAGUGAAAAUUUAUAUGAAAAAUAAAUUGAAAAUGGAUUUAAAUGUAAUUUUAUUUAUUUUAGUAAAAUGAUUUAAAAUUAAAAUAUGUACAUAUUGCCCGUCGCUUUCAUAUAUAAAUUGAAAUAAGUCGUAACAAAGUAGAGGUACUGGAAAGUGUUUCUAGAAAGAU
rnacentral:ncRNA from 1 species